rnacentral:rRNA from 1 species
GACAGAGGAUGCGAACGUUGCUCGGAAUUACUGGGCGUAAAGCGCGCGUAGGCGGCUACUUAAGUCGGAUGUGAAAGCCCCUGGCUCAACUGGGGAAGUGCACCCGAAACUGAGUGGCUUGAGUACUAAAGAGGGUCGCGGAAUUCCCGGUGUAGAGGUGAAAUUCGUAGAUAUCGGGAGGAACACCGGUGGCGAAGGCGGCGACCUGGGUAGAUACUGACGCUGAGGCGCGAAAGCGUGGGGAGCAAACAGG